rnacentral:misc_RNA from 1 species
UUUCCGUAGGUGAACCUGCGGAAGGAUCAUUAAUGAGUUGUCAUGGGGUUCGAUGCUGGCAGCCGGUUUUUGGAUGCAUGUGCUUGCCCUAACAAUCAUCUUCUUCCAAACACCUGUGCACAUUUUUGAGGGAGUCUUGAGUUGGUUGCCGCUCUUGGGUGAUUUUCUCACAUUCCCUUAAAUCAUUAUACGCUAUUAACAAUGUUGAACGUGCUCUGUGCCGCAAGGCCAUUAAUAUAAUACAACUUUUAACAACGGAUCUCUUGGCUCUC